GAUUGCAUAUGUGAGUUUUACAAGAAAGGUGACAAAGAAAACAUGGAGAUUUGCUUCCAUUGCCCAUGCUUGUUUGGUAGAAGAGAGGUCCCUAGUAGCCAGCAUGAGAUUGUCCCUAACUUUCUGUCUCCGUCUCUAAUUAAUGCACUCACAGCCAUGUAAUCGUAUCUUGACAUUCCAGUAAUUUGGAAAUGUAUCAGAGAUGAAGGAACAUAAAUUUUAAGGACAGAAGAUCUUGACCCUACUAGCAAUGGUUUAUAAACACAACUCUCUGUUUUCCACCUAGUCCAAAAUAUUGAUAAGGUAAAUUACGUUAAUUACCUCCAAGGUUUGAAAAAACCAUAUAAUAGGUCUCAUAAAUCUUAAUUACACUGACUUCUUUUUAGUAAGGUUAAAGCAAACAGAAUUAAUGCAAGUAAUAGAUUGAGGAAAAAUCAAGGGUAAAAAUACAUCAAUUUAAAAGAGAUGAUAAUAAUAUUUUCAUCCACACGAUUUAAGGAAUGAUGGAUAGUGUUAUAUGAAAUAAACAUUAUGAAAACAAAGUGUAGUUAUGUCAACUUUGUGAAGCUUGAUGUAUUUUUUACAACCUCGAGAAAAAUUAGUGUAAUUUACCCAUAUUUUGAUAUAACAUGUUUAAAAGGCCAAAAAAAAAAAAAAA